rnacentral:rRNA from 1 species
UACGUAGGGUCCGAGCGUUGUCCGGAAUUACUGGGCGUAAAGAGCUCGUAGGUGGUUUGUCGCGUUGUUCGUGAAAACUCACAGCUUAACUGUGGGCGUGCGGGGGAUACGGGCAGACUGGAGUACUGCAGGGGAGACUGGAAUUCCUGGUGUAGCGGUGGAAUGCGCAGAUAUCAGGAGGAACACCGGUGGCGAAGGCGGGUCUCUGGGCAGUAACUGACGCUGAGGAGCGAAAGCGUGGGGAGCGAACAGG